CAAAAAAUAGUUUAAUAAAAAUAUUAAUUUUGGAGAUUAAUGAUAUAAUAAUUGAAUAGUUAUUUUUUUGA
rnacentral:tRNA from 1 species